rnacentral:rRNA from 1 species
GACGUAGGGCGCAAGCGUUGUCCGGAUUUAUUGGGCGUAAAGCGCACGUAGGCGGAUUUGUAAGUCAGGGGUGAAAUCCCGGGGCUUAACCCCGAGCCUGCAGUGGAUACGGGCAGACUAGAGGUAGGUAGGGGAGAAUGGAAUUCCCGGUGUAGCGGUGAAAUGCGCAGAUAUCGGGAGGAACACCGGUGGCGAAGGCGGUUCUCUGGGCAUUACCUGACGCUGAGGAGCGAAAGUGUGGGGAGCGAACAGG